rnacentral:rRNA from 1 species
UACAGAGGUCCCAAGCGUUGUUCGGAUUCACUGGGCGUAAAGGGUGCGUAGGUGGUGAGGUAAGUCGGAUGUGAAAUCUCCGAGCUCAACUCGGAAAUGGCAUUGGAAACUACCUUGCUCGAGGGUUGGAGGGGGGACCGGAAUGCUUGGUGUAGCAGUGAGAUGCGUAGAUAUCAAGCGGAACACCAGUGGCGAAGGCGAGUCCCUGGACAACUCCUGACACUGAGGCACGAAAGCUAGGGGAGCAAACAGG